rnacentral:lncRNA from 1 species
GGAGGGGCGGGGCGGGGGCGCACCUGUUUGGCCAAUCGACCCCGCUACUACCACCCGCCCCGGCCGGACUGGGCAGGGCCGAUCCCCUCCGCUCUCCGCACACCAGUCCCCAGUCCCCACUUUGGCCCGGGAUCGAGGCCGGGCCACACGCCCCCUGCCAUCCCACACCACCUCGCACCCGCGAUCUGGGUCUGGCCACACCCCCUACUCCCCUCCCCCGGCUCAGGCUAGCCUGUGGAGGCCCUCUGUGUGGCCGGUGUUCCCGGGAAUUAAUCCCAGCUUUAGCCCGAGAACCAUGCGGAUAUCAGACUGAGGAGUGGGCUGCAACCCACCCCUCUUUUACUCUUCACCCUCCUCUCCCGCAAGGAUCUUCGCGCCUCGGUUGACCCCUUAAACUGCUGUGCGCCUCCCUUCGAUCUCCACCCGCAGUGGCCGUGGACUGAUGCUAGGUUCAGAGGUCCGGGAGAGGCGGGGUGGGGUCGGGGUAGGGAGGGGGUUGUGUCAAUGGGAAGGGACGUCCAACCCUCCCACCAACAAAUUCUCAACCCCAGCAGAGUUGGGGCGAACAUCUCCAGAAUGUGCUUGCGAUUAGUUUCAGCAGGUUCCCCAACUUCCUUCGGGGUCACAGUCAAAUUUAAAGCGGGACGGUUUUAUUGUCCCAUUCUCCAGAUAGGAAGACUGAGGCCAAAGGGAGGGAAGAACUUUUCGUACGUGGUGACGAGACUGCGACUUUUUUCAAAUCAAAGGGCCCCCAGCUGGAGCUGAAGUCCUUUGGCGGUUACCAUCAGAAGAAACUGAAGGUUCUGAGCUGUCUGUUCCACCCCCAGGGUUGCCAGAGCAACCAGCCCCUUCCUGAGCUUUUAUCCUGACCGUCUGUCUGAGCCCAGCUCCCUCACCCAUGAAUCAUAAAGUCCCCCCAACAGGUG